rnacentral:rRNA from 1 species
UUACGCCUACGGGGCGCAGCAGUGGGGGAUAUUGCACAAUGGGGGGAACCCUGAUGCAGCGACGCCGCGUGAGUGAAGAAGUAUUUCGGUAUGUAAAGCUCUAUCAGCAGGGAAGAAGAAAGACGGUACCUGAGUAAGAAGCCCCGGCUAACUACGUGCCAGCAGCCGCGGUAAUACGUAGGGGGCAAGCGUUAUCCGGAAUGACUGGGUGUAAGGGGAGCGUAGACGGUUGUACAAGUCUGAUGUGAAAGCCCACGGCUCAACUGUGGGAGUGCAUUGGAAACUGUAGAACUAGAGUAUCGGAG